UACGUAGGGGGCUAGCGUUGUCCGGAUUUAUUGGGCGUAAAGAGCGUGUAGGCGGCCUGGUAGGUCUGCUGUGAAAACUCGAGGCCCAACCUCGAGAUGUCGGCGGAAACCAUCUGGCUAGAGUCCGGAAGAGGAGAGUGGAAUUCCUGGUGUAGCGGUGAAAUGCGCAGAUAUCAGGAAGAACACCUAUGGCGAAGGCAGCUCUCUAGGACGGUACUGACGCUGAGACGCGAAAGCGUGGGGAGCGAACAGG
rnacentral:rRNA from 1 species